GCCUGGCGUGGUGGCUCGUGCCUGUAGUCCCAGCUACUCGGGAUGCUGAGGUGGGAGGAUCGCUUGAGCCCAGGAGUUCUGGGCUGUAGUGUGCUAUGCUAACCGGGUGUCCACACUAAGUUUGGCAUCAAUAUGGUGACCUCCCGGGGGGCGGGUGACCACCAGGUUGCCUAAGGAGGGGUGAACCGGCCCAGGUUGGAAACAGAGCAGGUCAAAACUCCCGCACUGAUCAGUAGUGGGAUCACGCCUGUGAAUAGCCACUGUACUCCAGCCUGGGCAACAUAGCGAGACCCUGUCUCAA
rnacentral:SRP_RNA from 1 species